UCUUCACCAAUCCUGACACUGCUCUUUAUCUGCACAUACUGCUUCGCCCAACAUACCCAAAUGAACAUGCAGUGGCAUAAGGAUGAUGCACUUCUGAAAGGAGACAAUGGAGGGAGAAUGAAGAUAUGUCUGAUAGCCUCCAAGCUUGAGGACAAGCAAAGCCAAUUCUUUCAGUGG